rnacentral:sRNA from 1 species
GAGUUGAUCGAUCUAAAGUUUGUAAACCGGAAGCUUUUACUAAACACGAUAGCGAUCCUAGGGUGGAGAAGGAAGAGUUGCAGAUCUGGAUGUCCGCUCUAACUAAAGCCACCAAGUUACCUCCACAUCGCUGGGAUCAACAAAAUUACGAGGACGAUGCCAAGCUUAUUGAGGACAUUGUACAACAUAUUGGAGCCUGCCUGCACAAAUGAAUCGGCUUCACCGUUUAACAUAUUUCAAAUGGGACAUGUAUCACCAAGUGCGUGUGUAUUUUUGUUUUGGCGGAUGAUUUCACAGUUUGUAAUUGCCUCUGUAGGGUUUAUACUGUUACACAGAACAGUCUCUUUUGAUCAUUCAAAGGUUAUUUCUCUAAUAAACUUGUCAGCAGAUCAUACAUAUUAUUAUGUGUCAUAAAUGUGACAUAUCAUA